rnacentral:rRNA from 1 species
UACGGGGGGAGCAAGCGUUGUUCGGAUUUACUGGGCGUAAAGGGCGCGUAGGCGGCGCGACAAGUCACUUGUGAAAUCUCCGGGCUUAACCCGGAGCGGCCAAGUGAUACUGUAGUGCUAGAGUGCGGAAGGGGCUACUGGAAUUCUCGGUGUAGCGGUGAAAUGCGUAGAUAUCGAGAGGAACACCUGCGGCGAAGGCGGGUAGCUGGGCCGACACUGACGCUGAGGCGCGAAAGCGUGGGGAGCAAACGGG